UGCAAGUCAUGCUGCUUGUUUCUUGCUGCAAAUACAACAUGUCAGCUCCCUUAGAGAAUCUCAAAUGUCAUGCACCACCGUUUCAUCACUGACAUUAGGAGGAAACUUGCUGAGAGACGGAAGGUAAACGGCAUGGAGAAAACACCCAGCAGAGAAAGCCUGGAAACACUUAGAGGUUGUCAAGAGAGAGAUUAGAACUGACUGAUUGACUGACAAUCUGCACCAACCAUUUGUAAAGAACUGGGGGAAAAGCAGGAGAAAGAGGGUGCUGGCAAUAAAAACAGAUUCACCCGAAGAUGCGAACCUGAAGCCGCCCACCAGAAGGUCACUUUUCAAAGAUCAAGACAGCGUUCAACACAAAUGCAUCAGUCCAGUGCAACCAGAAGCGAAAUCUGGAUUUAUUAACUCACAGACCCGUCCCCAGAAAUAUUUAACCACAGCCAAAAAGCAGCGGUUCUCUGCUCUGCCUACCAGAGCAACGCUUGUGAGAGGUUUAAUACGCGAGUUAACAUUGAUGGUAGAUUCAAUGCAGACCUGGACAGCAACAUCGCAGAAAGAAUGCUUCUACGGCCGCACGGGACCAUCGAAAUAAAGCCUCAUCCCUAACGCUUUUGGCCGCAUAUCAAAUUCUGUUACAGAAACAGUCCGGUGAUAUCAAGGUGAUUUUAAACUAAACUGAUCACUGUUUUUUUUUUUUUUUUUGUUGGUUUGUUUGAUUUUUCUUAUGCUCAUAUAAAUGGAUAACCGAAUCAGACUUGCCCUGGAUGAAAUAAGGAAUUUAGUAGUGGAGCUCAAUGAAAUCC